UGGGGAAUAUUGGACAAUGGGCGAAAGCCUGAUCCAGCCAUGCCGCGUGUGUGAAGAAGGUCUUCGGAUUGUAAAGCACUGUAAGUUGGGAGGAAGGGCAGUAAGCGAAUACCUUGCUGUUUUGACGUUACCGACAGAAUAAGCACCGGCUAACUCUGUGCCAGCAGCCGCGGUAAUACAGAGGGUGCAAGCGUUAAGCGGAAUUACUGGGCGUAAAGCGCGCGUAGGGGGUUCGUUAAGUUGAAUGUGAAAGCCCCGGGCUCAACCUGGGAACUGCAUCCAAAACUGGCGAGCUAGAGUAGGGCAGAGGGUGGUAGAAUUUCCUGUGUAGCGGUGAAAUGCGUAGAUAUAGGAAGGAACACCAGUGGCGAAGGCGACCACCUGGGCUCAUACUGACACUGAGGUGCGAAAGCGUGGGGAGCAAACAGG
rnacentral:rRNA from 1 species